AUGGUAGGUUGUGGGUUUUUAAUACCAAACAAUUAUUUCUCUAGAUCAAGACAUUAUCUCUCAACUUGUCCAUUACUGAUAGGAUGAUAUGGAGUAGAAUAACUUGUUGCAAUUCCUUUCUGUGUAAAAAUUAGAUGGUAAUGGUCCUUUAAAGUAUAUACUGAGAUGAUUCAUUGGACGUUAACUUACUGAUAUUUGCAGAUCAAUAAAACUUUAGUUUUAAUUCUGAAAAAAUAUGGCAUUUAGAACAAACUUUCUUGACCUCCUCUGAAGGAAAAGUUCAACCAUGAGGUUCUGCUCUACUCCAUUAUUUAUGUUUAACUUGACUACUGUUAAAAUAUGGUUUUAAUUUAGUAAAUUUUCAUGAAUUGACAUUUACUUUGUUAAUCAUUAGCCAACAGUUUAGGUAAUAAACUUAAAUUUAUCGCCAACAAGGUGACAACAAUUUUGUUUUCUUGUAACACCAUUAAACAAACUUUUAUGAUUAUUAUCAUGCGAUUGCUAUUUAGGUUCAGGCGAUAUAGCGGACGUUUUAGGUACACGUCUAACAGUUUUAACCCGAAAGCACAAUCUUGUUUUGAGUUCAAAGGAGGAAUGAAAUAAUUCAGGCGGUGGGAAUAAUCUGGUACAAUAGUGAAGAUUAUGUUAGCUUUUUAUUUAGGUUGUUUUUAUUGUAUUUAAUGGCGAAGAUAAAUCACUUUGUCAUAAACAUAAAAUGCAGACAGAGAUAACAAUAAUAAUAAUAAUAAUAAUAAUAAUAAUAAUAAUAAUUGAAUUUUUUGUUUAAAUAUGCUCAAAAAUGAAUAUGUGAUGUACUGCGUAAAAAUUAUUUUAAAAUACUCAUUCAAUGGUUCUCGGAUUAAUAACCUAAUUCCUUUUUUAGUAGGAGAGCGACGCUUAGUGCGAUGUUAUCCUAUAAAGGAGAGUAAUAAGGAAAAACGGAGCAAGAUGGUGAAUGGAGCAAAUGGUUUUUCAUAUAACAACUCAACAAAAAAAUGGUUGAAAACGAAACUAUAUUUACAUCUUGUAUUUUAAAACGCUUAUUGUUUUUUUUAAAUAUUAUUGACGUAUUUUUAUAUGUAUAAGUUUGCUUUUUGCGCAUGAA